rnacentral:miRNA from 1 species
UAUCUGUAUGUCUUGGUAACAC